rnacentral:rRNA from 1 species
UUUGGAGGGCAAGUCUGGUGCCAGCAGCCGCGGUAAUUCCAGCUCCAAUAGCGUAUAUUAAAGUUGUUGUGGUUAAAAAGCUCGUAGUUGAACCUUGGGCCUGGCUGGCCGGUCCGCCUCACCGCGUGCACUGGUCCGGCCGGGCCUUUCCCUCUGUGGAACCCCAUGCCCUUCACUGGGCGUGGCGGGAAACAGGACAUACUAACGCGUUUUGG